rnacentral:rRNA from 1 species
UACGUAGGGUCCGAGCGUUGUCCGGAAUUACUGGGCGUAAAGAGCUCGUAGGUGGUUUGUCGCGUUGUUCGUGAAAAUUCACAGCUCAACUGUGGGCGUGCGGGCGAUACGGGCAGACUGGAGUACUGCAGGGGAGACUGGAAUUCCUGGUGUAGCGGUGGAAUGCGCAGAUAUCAGGAGGAACACCGGUGGCGAAGGCGGGUCUCUGGGCAGUAACUGACGCUGAGGAGCGAAAGCGUGGGGAGCGAACAGG